AUAGUAUAAAUAUUUGAUUUGUUAAUAUGAAUUGGAUCAUGCUUCUUGAUAAUAUAUAUGUUGAUUAUUAUCCUUGUUAUGAUAAGCAUGAUUAAUUGUUGAAUCCGAAUUAUUGAUAUGAACCAGUAUAUAUAUUCUGAAUUGACUUCUGAACUGAUAGCUCCUCAUUUGAUUGAUGUCAUGAGUUGAGCCUUGAGAUAUGAAUAUGUCUGUUUGAUUAUGAUUAUGAACCUAUGGUAUGUCAGUCAGAAUACCCAUGCUAACAGGGUAGUGUUAGUCUUUGUGCACAUCGUAUCUGAACCCUAGUUGGUCGGGGGAGUCACCAACCUGUGUGGACUGAUCAUCCCACAGUACGGAGCCUCAUGCUCAUUGCAUUUUGAUUUUCUGACGAGUUUUACCAUAUGAUCUUCUUGUUAUGGCCAAUUUGAGAACACUUCCAUAAGAACCUAAAGCCAUACUUGUAUAUAUAUUUCUCAUUGUUAUAUUACCUCGUGAGUGGAUAAUUUUUCAUAUGCAUGAGAAAUAGUAUAAAUAUUUGAUUUGUUAAUAUGAAUUGGAUCAUGCUUCUUGAUAAUAUAUAUGUUGAUUAUUAUCUUUGUUAUGAUAAGCAUGAUCAAUUGUUGAAUCCGAAUUAUUGAUGUGAACCAGUAUAUAUAUUCUGAAUUGACUUCUGAACUGAUAGCUCCUCAUUUGAUUGAUGUCAUGAGUUGAGCCUUGAGAUAUGAAUAUGUUUGUUUGAUUAUGAUUAUGAACCUAUGAUAUGUCAGUCAGAAUACCCAUGCUAACAGGGUAGUGUUAGUCUUUGUGCACAUCGUAUCUGAACCCUAGUUGGUCGGGGGAGUCACCAACCUGUGUGGACUGAUCAUCCCACAGUACGGAGCCUCAUGCUCAUUGCAUGUUGAUUUUCUGACGAGUUUUACCAUAUGACAUUCUUGUUAUGGCCAAUUUGAGAAACAUUUCCAUAAGAACCUAAAGUCAUACUUCAUGCUCAUUGCAUUUUGAUUUUCUGACGAGUUUUA